rnacentral:pre_miRNA from 1 species
UAUACAGUGGAAACUACCGUUGAAUCGAAAAAUAGACGUCCGAGAUUCGUCCACGUCACCAUGAGUUAAAAUUUAACUCGCAGAUUCACUCAUGAGUUAAAAUUUUACUAGGAGUUAAAUUUUAACUCAUGAUGACGUGGACGAAUCUCGGACGUCCAUUUCUCGAUCCAACGGUAGUUUCCAAGUUUU